CAGUAGCCGCGGUAAUACGUAGGUCCCGAGCGUUGUCCGGAUUUAUUGGGCGUAAAGCGAGCGCAGGCGGUUAGAUAAGUCUGAAGUUAUAGGCUGUGGCUUAACCAUAGUACGCUUUGGAAACUGUUUAACUUGAGUGCAAGAGGGGAGAGUGGAAUUCCAUGUGUAGCGGUGAAAUGCGUAGAUAUAUGGAGGAACACCGGUGGCGAAAGCGGCUCUCUGGCUUGUAACUGACGCUGAGGCUCGAAAGCGUGGGGAGCAAACAGGAUUAGAUACCCGGGUAGUCCCUGUCUCUUAUACA
rnacentral:rRNA from 1 species